AUACGGAGGCUGCAAGCGUUAUCCGGAAUCAUUGGGUUUAAAGGGUCCGUAGGCGGGCUAAUAAGUCAGGGGUGAAAUCCCACAGCUUAACUGUGGAACUGCCCUUGAUACUGUUGGUCUUGAGUUACAGUGAAGUGGUUAGAAUGUGUAGUGUAGCGGUGAAAUGCAUAGAGAUUACACAGAAUACCGAUUGCGAAGGCAGAUCACUAACUGUAUACUGACGCUAAUGGACGAAAGCGUGGGGAGCGAACAGGAUUAGAAACCCGGGUAGUCC
rnacentral:rRNA from 1 species